UGGCGGACGGGUGAGUAUCGCGUAGGAACGUGUCGUGAGGUGGGGGACAACCCUGGGAAACUGGGGCUAAUACCGCAUGGGGACUGAGGUCCAAAGCCGAGAGGCGCCUUAUGAGCGGCCUGCGUCCGAUUAGGUAGUUGGUGGGGUAAAGGCCUACCAAGCCUGCGAUCGGUAGCUGGUCUGAGAGGACGAUCAGCCACACUGGGACUGAGACACGGCCCAG
rnacentral:rRNA from 1 species